UACCGAAGCUUAGGAAGUGGGAUCACCGGGAAAGAUUAGGAAGUGGGAUCACCGGGAAAGAGCGGUAGCCACAGAGGGAUGCGCACGCUGCCAGAACUUCAGUGCUGAAAGCUGGAGGAAGCUGAAAAGAAAUAACUUUCUCUCUCGCCUCUCGCCUCGGGUUUUCUGCCAGUUCCUCCCACUGAGAAAACUCAACUGGAAACUUAAAGCACUGCUUUUCCCUGCUGCUGCUGCUAAGUCGCUUCAGUCGUUUCUGACUCUGCACCACCCCAUAGACAGCAGCCCACCAGGCUCCCCCAUCCCUGGGAUUCUCCAGGCAAGAACACUGGAGUGGGUUGCCAUGUCCUUCACCAGUGCAUGAAAGUGAAAAGUGAAAGUGAAGCCGCUCAGUCGUGUCUGACUCUUCACAAUCCCACAGACUGCAGCCUACCAGGCUCCUUCGUCCAUGGGAUUUUCCAGAGAGUCAGAGAGAAUCAGAGCAGGUGCCAGAGGAGCUGACCUUGAAGGCCACGUCUCCUGAAGAGCCCAGGGCCAGCGGGCCAUUGUCAUCAGCGGCAUAUAUUUCUACUGCAAUUAUCUCGCGUCCUCUUACAACUCUCUCAGAAGUUCCUUCCGUGAUCAUUAAAACUGGCUCUGGGCUGUGGCUUUGAAAGCGGCUGGAACCGCCCAGGGCUGGAUCGUAUCCUCGUUAAGCAGGGACGGCCUUCCAGGGACUUCAACAGGAUUUCUCAGUGGUGACAAAUCGAGGGAGAUGCGACUGGGCCAUGCCAAUUACAGGUGUCAGAGGAGGGCAUCCAAGUGACUUGUCAUUUUCUGCCCUGGAAUUCUGACUAACAUGAGGUCAUCAAUAUAGUGGACCAAUAUGACCUGUCGAGGAAUGUCCAGAUGAUCAACUUACCUCUUUUUAAUGGCAUCAGUUCAGUUCAGUUCAGUCGCUCAGUCGUGUCCGACUCUUUGCGACCCCAUGAAUUGCAGCAUGCCAGGCCUCCCUGUCCAUCACCAACUCCUGGAGUUCACUCAGACUCACGUCCAUCGAGUCCGUGAUGCCAUCCAGCCAUCUCAUCCUCUGUCGUCCCCUUCUCCUCCUGCCCCCAAUCCCUCCCAGCAUCAGAGU
ensembl:lncRNA